GAUGAACGCUGGCGGCGUGCUUAAUACAUGCAAGUCGAGCGAACAGACGAGGAUUUUGCUCCUCUGACGUUAGCGGCGGACGGGUGAGUAACACGUGGAUAACCUACCUAUAAGACUGGGAUAACUUCGGGAAACCGGAGCUAAGACCGGAUAAUAUAUUGAACCGCAUGGUUCAAUAGUGAAAGACGGUUUUGCUGUCACUUAUAGAUGGAUCCGCGCCGCAUUAGCUAGUUGGUAAGGUAACGGCUUACCAAGGCAAGGAUGCGUAGCCGACCUGAGAGGGUGAUCGGCGCCACUGGAACUGAGCCACGGUCCAGACUCCUACGGGAGGCAGCAGUAGGGAAUCUUCCGAAAAGGGCGAAAGCUUGACGGAGCAACGCCGCGUGAGUGCUGAAGGUCUUCGGAUCGUAAAACUCUGUUAUUAGGGAAGAACAAAUGUGUAAGUAACUAUGCACGUCUUGACGGUACCUAAUCAGAAAGCCACGGCUAACUACGUG
rnacentral:rRNA from 1 species